UCCUAUGUAGUCUAGUGGCUAGGAUGCCUGACUCUCACCCAGGAGGCCUGGGUUCGAUUCCCGGCAUGGAAA